AACAUACCUAAAACGUUCCUUCGGCGGGAACAGACGGCCCCGUAAAACGGGCCGCCCCCGCCAGAGGACCCCUAACUCUGUUGCUAUAUGUAUCUUCUGAGUAAACAAGCAAAUAAAUUAAAACUUUCAACAACGGAUCUCUUGGCUCUGGCAUCGAUGAAGAACGCAGCGAAAUGCGAUAAGUAAUGUGAAUUGCAGAAUUCAGUGAAUCAUCGAAUCUUUGAACGCACAUUGCGCCCGCCAGUAUUCUGGCGGGCAUGCCUGUUCGAGCGUCAUUACAACCCUCAGGCCCCCGGGCCUGGCGUUGGGGAUCGGCGAGGCGCCCCCUGUGGGCACGCGCCGUCCCCCAAAUACAGUGGCGGUCCCGCCGCAGCUUCCAUUGCGUAGUAGCUAACACCUCGCAACUGGAGAGCGGCGCGGCCAUGCCGUAAAACACCCAACUUCUGAA
rnacentral:misc_RNA from 1 species